CAUGUUCCCUAGGGCCGACCCAAGCUGUCGGCCGGAGAUACCCACGCCCGCCGGGUUGUAUCACGCACGCGUGGGGUUCUGCCUAUUAUUUUUCUUUUAAUUUGAUCGAAGGGGAGAAGGCUCAGAGUUGUGGAGUGGUGAUGAAAUUACACCAAAAUUGUUUCAACAAGCUCUAGAAAUGGCCGACUAAAGUACAGUGACGGAGCCGCGACCAGUGGUUAUUGGUGUGGGUAGUCAAUGAGACACCCAUGGAGCCUGCUAGAACUUCCGGAGAGGGAUGUUCACUGUCUUGUGACAAUGGCUUCAUGGGUGCCUAUGUCUCAACUUACCAAGUUGUAUACUUUAUUGCGUGUCGAUUAUAUUUCAGUAAAGCAUAUUUAAUUAAAACUUAGCAGGAGCAGGUUGGUGUAGUUCUCACUCCCACUGAUAAAGUACAAGUUUAUACACCCUUUCACUUCCCAAACCCCCGCCUAGGGCCACUCCAAACCACAGACGAUGAUUUAGAACUCUGCAACAGUUUUUUAUUUUUUGCCUUAUAGCUAUUACAGUGUUUGAAACCUAAAGAAAUACAUUUUCUCUUCAAAUUUGGAUGUGUAUAUAAAUAUCAUUUGUCUGGACUCAGCACACUCCACGCCAUGGUUUCUUGGCCUAUGUUUGCUCUGAAAUCAUCAAGCUUUGUCUACCUAGGGGCCCUGAGAACAUGGAAAACAGCCAGAGUUUAUAGAUCUUAGAAAAA